rnacentral:lncRNA from 1 species
UAAAACUAUAUUUCAUGCAUGCUCAUGUUUUGUAGAAUUUCUGUGCAAGUCUGUAAAAUUUCAGGACAAAAACUUAAAAAUCUGUUAGUUCACAGUUCUCACUUUUCAGGUGAAUGAGAUAAAACCCAGGAAAGGAAAUGACUCACCCAAGAUGAGAGGAUUUCUGACAGCUAUUCUCAGCACUAAUGGCAAUGUUGAACACAUAGACAUGAGUUUGCUCUGCUCCUAUCCAUUGAGAUGCUCAUCAAGAGAGGAGAGACUCUAGCAUUGGGGGAAAUUGGACAUCAAGCUCAGUAGAAGGGGAAGAGCUUGGGCCAGGACAGAAAAGCCAACAAACCAUGGACUGAAUCCUCAGGGAACUGUAGACCUACAUAAACUUCUCCUUUAGAGAAAAAAAGAAGAAGAAAGAAAGAUGAUUCCUUGUGGGAGGAAGGACACAAAGUAAAAGAUAUCCCAGCACAGAUCAACAACCUCAUAUAGAGAAGGAGCAUCGCAGAACCCACAGAUCAGCAAAGAGACCAUGGCUCUAGCCUCACUGCAAAUGCUGGUUACCUGCUCCUCAGUGUACAGGAAUAGUAAGCUCUGGAAAACAUGGAUUUUUAGUGUGUGUGUGUGUGUGUGUGUGUGUGUGUAUAGCUCAUUGAAUAUACAUCUUAUGUAAGUAUUGGUUCAGUUUUUCUCAACAACCUUUUGUGUACUCUCAGUAAACCUUGAAUUAAUGAGGAAUUAAUGGUAUUACAUGUAGAUUUCUGUGCUGACUUGUCUACCUAGUAAUGCCGGUUUUCGCUGCCCUUUACAGAUCAGCAGCCCAGAGAGAGUACGAAUGCGAUCCAGAUGGUGCAGCUCACAUCCACCAUGGGGACUCAAACCCAGGUUCUAUCAGAAAGUGUGUCUCCUGUCACCGCUGAUGCUCGGACAGCCCAUCUGUCGCCUCCUUGCAUCUCGUGCUGGUGUCUGUUCCUGCUGCUUUGCUCACACUGCCUGCCUGGCCCCAGCUCAUCUCCCGCUCAGUUUUGGACCCAUGCAUCAGCUGCCCAGGAACUUGUCUGACUUGGACAGCCCUGCUUGGGUGCAUCUUGCAUGUGGUCGCCAGGUGAGUGUUCCCUAAAUGCUGUUGUCACCUCACCACCUCUGCUUGUACCAACCCCGAAUCCCCCGGCAAGCUCCCGAGGCCUAUCGCUGUGUCACGCCCUGCCCCAGUUGAGCAGCUUUCUUCAG